rnacentral:rRNA from 1 species
UACAGAGGUCUCGAGCGUUAGGCGGAAUCACUGGGCUUAAAGCGUGUGUAGGCGGAUCGGUAAGUACCUUGUGAAAUCCCACAGCUUAACUGUGGAACUGCUUGGUAUACUGCCAGUCUUGAGCCAGCUAGGGGCUACCGGAACAAAUGGUGGAGCGGUGAAAUGCGUAGAUAUCAUUUGGAACGCCAAUGGUGAAAACAGGUAGCUGGGGGUGUGCUGACGCUGAGACACGAAAGCCAGGGGAGCGAACGGG